UACAGAGAGGGCGAGCGUUGUUCGGAAUUACUGGGCGUAAAGGGCGCGUAGGCGGCUUGCUAAGUCGGACGUGAAAUCCCUCGGCUCAACCGGGAAACUGCGUCCGAUACUGGCGAGCUUGAAUUCGGGAGAGGGAUGUGGAAUUCCAGGUGUAGCGGUGAAAUGCGUAGAUAUCUGGAGGAACACCGGUGGCGAAGGCGG
rnacentral:rRNA from 1 species